rnacentral:misc_RNA from 1 species
UUAAUUCUAGGUUUGAUUCAGACACAGACGGCUCGGUUGCAUAAAUACGGCGCCACAGGGGCGCCGAAGCACAGGCUCGCUUCCACGGCUUUUGGGGUUUGAAGGCCCAGAGGGCCAUUCGUUAAUGAUCCCUCCGCAGGUUCACCUACGGAGA